CUUGAUGUGUAGGAUAGGUGGGAGGCUUUGAAGCGUGGACGCCAGUCUGCGUGGAGCCGACCUUGAAAUACCACCCUUUAAUGUUUGAUGUUCUAACGUGGACCCGUGAUCCGGGUUGCGGACAGUGUCUGGUGGGUAGUUUGACUGGGGCGGUCUCCUCCUAAAGAGUAACGGAGGAGCACGAAGGUUGGCUAAUCCUGGUCGGACAUCAGGAGGUUAGUGCAAUGGCAUAAGCCAGCUUGACUGCGAGCGUGACGGCGCGAGCAGGUGCGAAAGCAGGUCAUAGUGAUCCGGUGGUUCUGAAUGGAAGGGCCAUCGCUCAACGGAUAAAAGGUACUCCGGGGAUAACAGGCUGAUACCGCCCAAGAGUUCAUAUCGACGGCGGUGUUUGGCACCUCGAUGUCGGCUCAUCACAUCCUGGGGCUGAAGUAGGUCCCAAGGGUAUGGCUGUUCGCCAUUUAAAGUGGUACGCGAGCUGGGUUUAGAACGUCGUGAGACAGUUCGGUCCCUAUCUGCCGUGGGCGCUGGAGAACUGAGGGGGGCUGCUCCUAGUACGAGAGGACCGGAGUGGACGCAUCACUGGUGUUCGGGUUGUCAUGCCAAUGGCACUGCCCGGUAGCUAAAUGCGGAAGAG
rnacentral:rRNA from 1 species